UAUUUGUAUAUACAAAUAUAUACAAAAACGUAUGUUUCUGUUUCGUUUGCGUAUUUUUUUUUCAGUCUUAUGUACUUUGUAUUUAUUUAUUUUCAUUCACAUAAAAAUAGCGCACAAAUUGGCUGCGUCGACGUCGCCGUCACUUUCUCUGUGUUCUGUUGCUUAAAUAUUUUUUUUGCUGUGUAUUCGUAUCUGUUAUAUAGAGUGAAGAUAUAUGUAAGUGUGUGUAUGACACUGACCGACAAAUAGAGCUUGUAAUAUUUUACAGUUAGAUGGUAAUUAACAAGGCACUUGACACGACGAAGCAUGCGAUGACCGAAUCGAACGAACACUUGUUGCACCGCCUUAUGGCAUGUGGUGAAAUAGGAAAGACUUAACGAAGGAGCUCACAUAGCGGCGAAAGCGAUAGGCCAUCUGUCGUUAGGUUUUUCGAUUAUCCGUAGUUAAGUUAUAUUUCGUUGGGUUCUCACUGGGAUUAUUGGGGUUCGUCAAGUUAUGAAAACAGAGUUUCGUUAUUUAAAUAUUUUUUUACUUGCUCUCUUCGAUAUAUUUUGUUCACAGUCUAUGAUAUUUUCAGAAUUUUUGAAGGUCAGCUCUUUGCUAUACCAUAUAUUCCGUUGCACCUGCGACAAUAUCAGUUUUUGUAAACAAAAAUCGCGUUACAAUUGUUAUGUAUUUUAAUUAGGAAGUAUUUGUCACUUGCGUUGGCUUUGUAUUUAGUUUCGAUUCUGUCACAGACACACAUCAGUUUCGACUAUAUGCAAAUGAUUAUAAUGUUCUCUAUUUUAUUCUACAUUCUCAAGUACAUAUAUUUCGAUGGCUGAAACGCUCGCGACGCUUGUCUAUCUGCUACUGAGGUCCGCGUGUCGCUCUGAAGCAAUUUUAUUCAAAAGAAUUUCGAAAAUAAUACAACGAGAGCAAAUACAAAUACAAAAAUUCUCGGAGCGCAAAGUCGUGGGAAAUAAAUCAAAAAUGAAAACAAAAAUUGUCAUCGCUUACCCAAAUCAUUAACAGAACCAAUGGAAACCAGCGAUUCUCCCCGAAGCAAUAAGUUGGAAGAUAGACUAUAUAUAGCUUUAUGGGUUGAAAAUCACAUAACAAUCAGAUCACCAUGAUGCUUGUUGAACUUGGAACACAAAUGAGGCUAUAAUCGCAACCAGGAUGUAAGCAGAUAACGCAAAAAUGAUGAGCAAACAAUCAAAG